rnacentral:rRNA from 1 species
GAUUGAACGCUGGCGGCAGGCCUAACACAUGCAAGUCGAACGGUAACAGAAAGCAGCUUGCUGCUUUGCUGACGAGUGGCGGACGGGUGAGUAGUGUCUGGGAAACUGCCCGAUGGAGGGGGAUAACUACUGGAAACGGUAGCUAAUACCGCAUAACGUCGCAAGACCAAAGAGGGGGACCUUCGGGCCUCUUGCCAUCGGAUGUGCCCAGAUGGGAUUAGCUAGUAGGUGGGGUAACGGCUCACCUAGGCGACGAUCCCUAGCUGGUCUGAGAGGAUGACCAGCCACACUGGAACUGAGACACGGUCCAGACUCCUACAGGAGGCAGCAGUGGGGAAUAUUGCACAAUGGGCGCAAGCCUGAUGCAGCCAUGCCGCGUGUAUGAAGAAGGCCUUCGGGUUGUAAAGUACUUUCAGCGGGGAGGAAGGGAGUAAAGUUAAUACCUUUGCUCAUUGACGUUACCCGCAGAAGAAGCACCGGCUAACUCCGUGCCAGCAGCCGCGGUAAUACGGAGGGUGCAAGCGUUAAUCGGAAUUACUGGGCGUAAAGCGCACGCAGGCGGUUUGUUAAGUCAGAUGUGAAAUCCCCGGGCUCAACCUGGGAACUGCAUCUGAUACUGGCAAGCUUGAGUCUCGUAGAGGGGGGUAGAAUUCCAGGUGUAGCGGCGAAAUGCGUAGAGAUCUGGAGGAAUACCGGUGGCGAAGGCGGCCCCCUGGACGAAGACUGACGCUCAGGUGCGAAAGCGUGGGGAGCAAACAGGAUUAGAUACCCUGGUAGUCCACGCCGUAAACGAUGUCGACUUGGAGGUUGUGCCCUUGAGGCGUGGCUUCCGGAGCUAACGCGUUAAGUCGACCGCCUGGGGAGUACGGCCGCAAGGUUAAAACUCAAAUGAAUUGACGGGGGCCCGCACAAGCGGUGGAGCAUGUGGUUUAAUUCGAUGCAACGCGAAGAACCUUACCUGGUCUUGACAUCCACGGAAGUUUUCAGAGAUGAGAAUGUGCCUUCGGGAACCGUGAGACAGGUGCUGCAUGGCUGUCGUCAGCUCGUGUUGUGAAAUGUUGGGUUAAGUCCCGCAACGAGCGCAACCCUUAUCCUUUGUUGCCAGCGGUCCGGCCGGGAACUCAAAGGAGACUGCCAGUGAUAAACUGGAGGAAGGUGGGGAUGACGUCAAGUCAUCAUGGCCCUUACGACCAGGGCUACACACGUGCUACAAUGGCGCAUACAAAGAGAAGCGACCUCGCGAGAGCAAGCGGACCUCAUAAAGUGCGUCGUAGUCCGGAUUGGAGUCUGCAACUCGACUCCAUGAAGUCGGAAUCGCUAGUAAUCGUGGAUCAGAAUGCCACGGUGAAUACGUUCCCGGGCCUUGUACACACCGCCCGUCACACCAUGGGAGUGGGUUGCAAAAGAAGUAGGUAGCUUAACCUUCGGGAGGGCGCUUACCACUUUGUGAUU